UACAGAGGUGGCAAGCGUUGUUCGGAAUUACUGGGCGUAAAGGGCGAGUAGGUGGCCAUCUAAGUCAGACGUGAAAUCCCCCGGCUUAACCUGGGAACUGCGUCUGAUACUGGACGGCUAGAGUAUGGGAGAGGGAUGUAGAAUUCCAGGUGUAGCGGUGAAAUGCGUAGAUAUCUGGAGGAAUACCGGUGGCGAAAGCGGCGUACUGGGUCUUAUCUGACGCUGAGGCACGAAAGCUAGGGUAGCGAACGGG
rnacentral:rRNA from 1 species